AGUGAACGCUGGCGGUGGGCCUAACACAUGCAAGUCGAACGGCAGCACAGUAAGAGCUUGCUCUUACGGGUGGCGAGUGGCGGACGGGUGAGGAAUACAUCGGAAUCUACUUUUUCGUGGGGGAUAACGUAGGGAAACUUACGCUAAUACCGCAUACGACCUACGGGUGAAAGCAGGGGAUCUUCGGACCUUGCGCGAUUGAAUGAGCCGAUGUCGGAUUAGCUAGUUGGCGGGGUAAAGGCCCACCAAGGCGACGAUCCGUAGCUGGUCUGAGAGGAUGAUCAGCCACACUGGAACUGAGACACGGUCCAGACUCCAACGGGAGGCAGCAGUGGGGAAUAUUGGACAAUGGGCGCAAGCCUGAUCCAGCCAUACCGCGUGGGUGAAGAAGGCCUUCGGGUUGUAAAGCCCUUUUGUUGGGAAAGAAAAGCAGCAGGUUAAUACCCCGCUGUUCUGACGGUACCCAAAGAAUAAGCACCGGCUAACUUCGUG
rnacentral:rRNA from 1 species